rnacentral:rRNA from 1 species
GAUGAACGCUGGCGGCGUGCCUAAUACAUGCAAGUCGAGCGAACAGACGUGGAUCUUGCUCCUCUGACGUUAGCGACGGACAGGUGAGUAACACGUGGAUAACCUACCUAUCAGACUGGGAUAACUUCGGGACACCGGACCUAAUACCAGAUAAUAUAUUGCACCGCAUGGUUCACUAGUGACUGACUGUUUUGCUGUCACUUAUAUAUCGUUCCGGGCCGCUUUAGCUUAGUGGUAAGGUAACGGCUUACCAAGGCGCCGAUGCGUAGCCGACCUGGGAGGGGGUUCGGCGACACUGGAAGAGAGACACGGGCCAGACUCGUACGGGAGGCAGGAGUAGGGAAUCUUCGGAAGCGGGCGAAAGGCUGACGGAGCAACGCGGGGUGAGUGAUGAAGGUCUUGGGACCGGAAAACUCUGUUAUUAGGGAAGAACAACUGUGUAAGUAAGUAUGCACGUCUUGACGGUACCUGAUCAGAAAGCAACGGCUAACUACGUG